UGCAGAAUCCCGUGAACCAUCGAGUCUUUGAACGCAAGUUGCGCCCCAAGCCAUUUGGCCGAGGGCACGUCUGCCUGGGUGUCACGC
rnacentral:rRNA from 1 species